rnacentral:rRNA from 1 species
AGUGAACGCUGGCGGUAGGCCUAACACAUGCAAGUCGAACGGCAGCGCAGUAAGAGCUUGCUCUUACGGGUGGCGAGUGGCGGACGGGUGAGGAAUACAUCGGAAUCUACUUUUUCGUGGGGGAUAACGUAGGGAAACUUACGCUAAUACCGCAUACGACCUACGGGUGAAAGCAGGGGAUCUUCGGACCUUGCGCGAUUGAAUGAGCCGAUGUCGGAUUAGCUAGUUGGCGGGGUAAAGGCCCACCAAGGCGACGAUCCGUAGCUGGUCUGAGAGGAUGAUCAGCCACACUGGAACUGAGACACGGUCCAGACUCCUACGGGAGGCAGCAGUGGGGAAUAUUGGACAAUGGGCGCAAGCCUGAUCCAGCCAGACCGCGUGGGUGAAGAAGGCCUUCGGGUUGUAAAGCCCUUUUGUUGGGAAAGAAAAGCAGCAGGUUAAUACCCCGCUGUUCUGACGGUACCCAAAGAAUAAGCACCGGCUAACUUCGU